rnacentral:sRNA from 1 species
CAGGUAAGCUUAUUAACUUCUAUAAGGGCAGAUAAAAGCAUCGCUGUUCAUCCUCGUCGAAUUUUGGCCGUUUUGCAGGUGAGUGUAUAUUGUGAACUUUUGCUCAAUUCAAAGUAGUUAUUAAUUAGAUGAUUCUUUAUACUUUUCUCGUUUCAGGUAGGUUUAUUAGCGUCUCCAGGGACAGUUAAAAACAUCGCUGAUCAUCUUCGUUGGAUUUUUGGCCGCUUUGCAGGUAGGUUUAUUAGCGCAUCCAGGGACAGUUAAAAGCAUUGCUGAUCAUCUUCGUUGGAUUUUUAGCCGUUUUGCAGGUAGGUUUAUUAGCGUCUCCAGGGACAUUUAAAAGCAUUGCUGAUCAUCUUCGUUGGAUUAUUAGCCGCUUUGCAGGUGAGUGUAUAUUGUGAACUUUUGCUCAAUUCAAAAUAGUUA